CCAAUGCCGCUAGAACUAUUUAAAUGUUUGUCAUCACAACUUGAUCAAGAGGUUGGUUUCUUAGGAAGUUGCAAGAUGCGAAAAUAGACAAGAAACCAAACACAAGAAUAAAUCAAACCAGAAACUGAAAAUCUUAACUGUGCUUUACUGCGGGAGGUGUACACUGCAUGAAUACACCGUGAGCAGAUACCGGAGUUCAAUGGCAGUGAAUAUACAACGCAUUUUCCAGCAAACACAAGAAGCAGCAUGUCACUAAUGGGCAUGUCGUGAAGUGGAGAGUUAUUUGGGAUUUCCUCGAAGAGACGAAAGACUCUUGACAGAUCAGUAGGCUCGGAAAAUGUGCUGGCCUAUCUAGAUAAGCGUAUGCUGGGAAGACUUGCAAAGCAUAUGAGAAAUGUUACAGACAUUCUCAGAGAAACCACAUACUCGUCCCAUUGUGCUGGAGGAUUCCUGCAUCUGUAUAGAGCUGGAGAUAGUAUUCACGGUGGUAUUUUUGAAGACUUUCCCCUAUUACUGAAAGACAUGACAAAAUUAAAGGUCUUGGGCAAAAUUUGGUUCUCUUGCUGCAAGAUCCCAAAGUGAUUAUGGGAGUUUUGCUUGAGUUGAGUGAAGGAUGGGGCAAGACAGCUUUAUGGGGGAUGACAUACACUUUGACAGUGUUGUAGAAUAAACUGUUGUUGUUCUUGGGUCAAGAA